UACGGGAGGCAGCAGUGGGGAAUAUUGCACAAUGGGCGCAAGCCUGAUGCAGCCAUGCCGCGUGUAUGAAGAAGGCCUUCGGGUUGUAAAGUACUUUCAGUCGUGAGGAAGGUGUUAAGGUUAAUAACCUUAGCAAUUGACGUUAGCGACAGAAGAAGCACCGGCUAACUCCGUGCCAGCAGCCGCGGUAAUACGGAGGGUGCGAGCGUUAAUCGGAAUUACUGGGCGUAAAGGGCACGCAGGCGGUUAAUUAAGUUGGAUGUGAAAUCCCCGGGCUUAACCUGGGAAUGGCAUUCAAGACUGGUUAGCUAGAGUCUUGUAGAGGGGGUAAAAUUCCAUGUGUAGCGGUGAAAUGCGUAGAGAUGUGGAGGAAUACCGGUGGCGAAGGCGGCCCCUGGACAAAGACUGACGCUCAUGUGCGAAAGCGUGGGGAGCAAACAGGGAUUAGAUACC
rnacentral:rRNA from 1 species